CGUUUUUUUUCCCCUCCUUCCAAGUUUUGCUCAUUCUUCUUGGCCCAGGUGUGUUAGACAUGCCUUUGGCUCGCGGAGAACCAUGUAAGCUUUAUCAUGAUGUUAAAGCCCACAAAAGCUAGUUAUACCCAGUCCACGUAAGGAGAGCCUGGUAAGCCGGCUACCUACUAGUUGCUACUAGGUCUCCUGCUCAAAACCUAGUUUGAGGUCAC
rnacentral:lncRNA from 1 species